CACUCCUGCGGGAGGCAGCAGUGGGGAAUAUUAGACAAUGGGCGCAAGCCUGAUCCAGCCAUGCCGCGUGAGUGAUGAAGGCCCUAGGGUUGUAAAGCUCUUUCACCGGUGAAGAUAAUGACGGUAACCGGAGAAGAAGCCCCGGCUAACUUCGUGCCAGCAGCCGCGGUAAUACGAAGGGGGCUAGCGUUGUUCGGAUUUACUGGGCGUAAAGCGCACGUAGGCGGACUAUUAAGUCAGGGGUGAAAUCCCGGGGCUCAACCCCGGAACUGCCUUUGAUACUGGUAGUCUUGAGUUCGAGAGAGGUGAGUGGAAUUCCGAGUGUAGAGGUGAAAUUCGUAGAUAUUCGGAGGAACACCAGUGGCGAAGGCGGCUCACUGGCUCGAUACUGACGCUGAGGUGCGAAAGCGUGGGGAGCAAACAGGAUUAGAAACCCUGGUAGUCC
rnacentral:rRNA from 1 species